GAGUCAAGAACUGUUAGGUUUGCAUUGCAAUUUCACCAAGGAUAGAAAGUGGACCAUGAGACUGCCAAGGAAAUCCAGCAUUUUUCCCGAUUUUCCUGGCCAGAAGUUAAGGGUUUUUUUUGAUUUGGUGGUGUGCUGAAACUUCUCCGCUGGACUCCUUGACUCCUACAAAGAAGCACUGUUUAACGUAACCUGUAUCUCCUCUUCCAUGGC